rnacentral:tRNA from 1 species
UAAUCUUUGGUGUUUAUUGCACAAAAAAUUUUGAUUUUUUAGGAAAUAAUUAAAUUUAUUAAGAUUAA